UACGUAGGAGGCGAGCGUUGUCCGGAAUCACUGGGCGUAAAGCGCGUGUAGGCGGGCGGGCAAGUCUGCUGUGAAAGCGCCUGGCUUAACCGGGCGAGGUCGGCGGAAACUGCUCACCUGGAGGGCGGUAGAGGUGAGUGGAACUGCGAGUGUAGAGGUGAAAUUCGUAGAUAUUCGCAAGAACACCAGUGGCGAAGGCGGCUCACUGGCCCGAUACUGACGCUGAGGCACGAAAGCGUGGGGAGCAAACAGG
rnacentral:rRNA from 1 species